rnacentral:sRNA from 1 species
AGGGAAAAGAGGCCUCUGAUGUCAGGGAAGAGAAGGCCAGAGAAGGGCAAAACCUGCAACGUGGCGGGGUCUAAGGAAGGUCGGAGCUCGGGGGAAUACGCAAGUUUUAGAAGAAGGCGGGAGCUGACGAAGAGGCGGGGCACCAGGAAAAGAGGUGCUCCCCAGAGAGGGCGGGGUUUAGGCAGGGAGAAUCCUAUCCGGAGAUUGUCUUGCACAGCCUGGGCCAGAAGUGUUUAAGCUUUUCCCGAGCAGAGACAGUGGCACAGCUGAGGAGCACAGAACCUCAACUGUCUGGUGUGGGUGACCGGCAGUGGUUGUACCAGACAUGUACCGAGUUCGGCUUCUAUGUCACCUGUGAGAAUCCCAGAUGUCCUUUCUCCCAGCUCCCAGCACUGCCCUCCCAGCUAGACCUAUGUGAGCAGGUGUUUGGGCUCUCAGCCUUGUCAGUAGCCCAGGCUGUGGCUCAGACGAACUCCUACUACGGUGGCCAGACCCCUGGGGCUAACCAAGUGCUGUUUGUUAAUGGGGACACAGACCCCUGGCAUGUGCUAAGUGUAACACAGGCUUUAGGAUCCUCAGAAUCAACUCUUCUUAUCCGCACUGGCUCCCACUGCUUGGACAUGGCACCUGAGAGGCCCUCAGACUCCCCCAGCCUCCGCCUAGGGCGCCAGAACAUCUUCCAGCAGCUACAGACCUGGCUCAAGCUGGCAAAGGAGAGCCAGAUUAAGGGUGAAGUCUGAAUCUCAUACCCUUUCCACUCCCUGUAUGGUCACCUCAGUCUUGGACAUACUUGUUCACUGAACAAAAGAAAGCAGCUUGUUUUGAAAGAAGAAACUCCCAGGAAUUGGAAUUCAGCACCUGUUCCGCGUGUAACUGGCAUGUGUCUGCAAACAUCUUUAUUCCCAACUUAAAGUGCUUUAUUGCAGAGAGUUAUGGAAAUAUAAGUGGAUGAUUAUUCUCAUUGUAAAUAUUGGUAUUUUGAAUGUUAAAUGUCAA